rnacentral:rRNA from 1 species
CGUACAGAACCUUCCUUUAAGCGGGGAUAGCCCAUAGAAAUGUGGAUUAAUACCCCAUAGCAAUAUUUGAUGGCAUCAUCGGGUAUUUAAAGAUUUAUCACUUAAAGAUGGCUGUGCGGCUGAUUAGGUAGUUGGUGAGGGUAACGGCCCACCAAGUCUGCGAUCAGUAACUGGUGUGAGAGCACGACCAGUCACACGGGCACUGAGACACGGGCCCG